rnacentral:rRNA from 1 species
GAUGAACGCUGGCGGCGUGCCUAGUACAUGCAAGUCGAGCGAACGGACGAGAAGCUUGCUUCUCUGAUGUUAGCGGCGGACGGGUGAGUAACACGUGGAUAACCUACCUAUAAGACUGGGAUAACUUCGGGAAACCGGAGCUAAUACCGGAUAAUAUUUUGAACCGCAUGGUUCAAAAGUGAAAGACGGUCUUGCUGUCACUUAUAGAUGGAUCCGCGCUGCAUUAGCUAGUUGGUAAGGUAACGGCUUACCAAGGCAACGAUGCAUAGCCGACCUGAGAGGGUGAUCGGCCACACUGGAACUGAGACACGGUCCAGACUCCUACGGGAGGCAGCAGUAGGGAAUCUUCCGCAAUGGGCGAAAGCCUGACGGAGCAACGCCGCGUGAGUGAUGAAGGUCUUCGGAUCGUAAAACUCUGUUAUUAGGGAAGAACAUAUGUGUAAGUAACUGUGCACAUCUUGACGGUACCUAAUCAGAAAGCCACGGCUAACUACGUGCCAGCAGCCGCGGUAAUACGUAGGUGGCAAGCGUUAUCCGGAAUUAUUGGGCGUAAAGCGCGCGUAGGCGGUUUUUUAAGUCUGAUGUGAAAGCCCACGGCUCAACCGUGGAGGGUCAUUGGAAACUGGAAAACUUGAGUGCAGAAGAGGAAAGUGGAAUUCCAUGUGUAGCGGUGAAAUGCGCAGAGAUAUGGAGGAACACCAGUGGCGAAGGCGACUUUCUGGUCUGUAACUGACGCUGAUGUGCGAAAGCGUGGGGAUCAAACAGGAUUAGAUACCCUGGUAGUCCACGCCGUAAACGAUGAGUGCUAAGUGUUAGGGGGUUUCCCCCCCUUAGUGCUGCAGCUAACGCAUUAAGCACUCCGCCUGGGGAGUACGACCGCAAGGUUGAAACUCAAAGGAAUUGACGGGGACCCGCACAAGCGGUGGAGCAUGUGGUUUAAUUCGAAGCAACGCGAAGAACCUUACCAAAUCUUGACAUCCUUUGACAACUCUAGAGAUAGAGCCUUCCCCUUCGGGGGGCAAAGUGACAGGUGGUGCAUGGUUGUCGUCAGCUCGUGUCGUGAGAUGUUGGGUUAAGUCCCGCAACGAGCGCAACCCUUAAGCUUAGUUGCCAUCAUUAAGUUGGGCACUCUAAGUUGACUGCCGGUGACAAACCGGAGGAAGGUGGGGAUGACGUCAAAUCAUCAUGCCCCUUAUGAUUUGGGCUACACACGUGCUACAAUGGACAAUACAAAGGGCAGCGAAACCGCGAGGUCAAGCAAAUCCCAUAAAGUUGUUCUCAGUUCGGAUUGUAGUCUGCAACUCGACUACAUGAAGCUGGAAUCGCUAGUAAUCGUAGAUCAGCAUGCUACGGUGAAUACGUUCCCGGGUCU